rnacentral:rRNA from 1 species
GGCCUAACACAUGCAAGUCGAACGGUAACAGGAAGCAGCUUGCUGCUUCGCUGACGAGUGGCGGACGGGUGAGUAAUGUCUGGGAAACUGCCUGAUGGAGGGGGAUAACUACUGGAAACGGUAGCUAAUACCGCAUAACGUCGCAAGACCAAAGAGGGGGACCUUCGGGCCUCUUGCCAUCGGAUGUGCCCAGAUGGGAUUAGCUAGUAGGUGGGGUAACGGCUCACCUAGGCGACGAUCCCUAGCUGGUCUGAGAGGAUGACCAGCCACCCUGGAACUGAGACACGGUCCAGACUCCUACGGGAGGCAGCAGUGGGGAAUAUUGCACAAUGGGCGCAAGCCUGAUGCAGCCCUGCCGCGUGUAUGAAGAAGGCCUUCGGGUUGUAAAGUACUUUCAGCGGGGAGGAAGGCGAUAAGGUUAAUAACCUUGUCGAUUGACGUUACCCGCAGAAGAAGCACCGGCUAACUCCGUGCCAGCAGCCGCGGUA